UUACGGCCACAUCACGUCGAAACACCGGUUCCCGUAUGAUCUCUGAAGUUAAGCAACGUCGAGCAUGAUCAGUAGCUUGAUAGGUGAUCGCUUGAGAACACUAGGUGCUGUAAG